AAGAAGAAUGUUGUGUUUUUGGGAGAUGGGAUGGGCAAAACAGUCAUUACGGGAUCUUUGACUGUGGGUCAACCUGGUAUUUCCACUUACAACACGGCCACUGUUGCGGUUCUUGGCGAUGGAUUCAUGGCUAGUGGUAUCACGGUCCAGAAUGCAGCAGGACCUCCUACCCACCAAGCAGUGGCGUUUAGAUCAGACAGCGACCUAUCAUAUAUUGAGAACUGUGAAUUCCU
rnacentral:misc_RNA from 1 species